rnacentral:rRNA from 1 species
UACAGAGGGGGCAAGCGUUGUUCGGAAUUACUGGGCGUAAAGGGCGCGUAGGCGGCCUGUUAAGUCGAACGUGAAAUCCCCGGGCUCAACCCCGGGAACUGCGUCCGAUACUGGCAGGGCUUGAAUUCGGGGAGAGGGAUGGUGGAAUUCCGCGUGUAGCAGUGAAAUGCGUAGAUAUGCGGAGGAACACCGAUGGCGAAGGCAAUCCCCUGGG